AGAGUUUGAUCCUGGCUCAGAUUGAACGCUAGCGGGAUGCCUUACACAUGCAAGUCGAACGGCAGCGCGGACUUCGGUCUGGCGGCGAGUGGCGAACGGGUGAGUAAUGUAUCGGAACGUGCCCAGUAGCGGGGGAUAACUACUCGAAAGAGUAGCUAAUACCGCAUACGCCCUACGGGGGAAAGGGGGGGAUCGCAAGACCUCUCACUAUUGGAGCGGCCGAUAUCGGAUUAGCUAGUUGGUGAGGUAAAGGCUCACCAAGGCGACGAUCCGUAGCUGGUUUGAGAGGACGACCAGCCACACUGGGACUGAGACACGGCCCAGACUCCUACGGGAGGCAGCAGUGGGGAAUUUUGGACAAUGGGGGAAACCCUGAUCCAGCCAUUCCGCGUGUGCGAUGAAGGCCUUCGGGUUGUAAAGCACUUUUGGCAGGAAAGAAAUCGCAUCAAUUAAUACUUGGUGUGGAUGACGGUACCUGCAGAAUA
rnacentral:rRNA from 1 species